rnacentral:lncRNA from 1 species
CCAAUUCACGGAUCUCUGUCAAAGUCUGCGUAAAGUUUAUACCUUUAUGCGAAUAAUGCUUGUACCAUGGCAUCACUCACAGGGUGCUGAAGUCGUCAUCAGGUCACAGAUUAUUACAAAACUAAACAGCAAGUGGUCACUCCUUGACAGCUCCAUGUACGGCCAUAACCUAACCACAUUCAGAGAAAUGAAACCUUAAAAAAUCCAACAGAUGAAUCAAUCAAUAAUCCAAUGUAAAGCUCGCCAUCACAAUGCAGAGAUGAUAUCAACCAAUGUAUACUAGUGAUCUAAUCUAAGUUCGAUGCCGACCUCGAACUGAUCGAAGGAUCAGGGCAGAGAGAUGGCCCCAGAUUUUUUUUUUCUGGACGAACUCCAUUUUGGAUAAUGUGAUUGGCAGUAUUAGAGUGGCCCAAUCGAUGAAAGGGACAGCUUCCCGUCGCUGCACUCGUCUUCUUGCUCCGUUCUUGGACUGAUCCGGUGUGAGUCUUCCGUCAGGACAAAGCUUUGAGCCUGGGAGGCUGCCAUUGUCGACCUGUCCGUGAUGAUGGGGAUGGCUGGAUCGACCUGACGAGCCUGAAUGGAUUAUGGAUGGAUGAUGAUUAGGUCAGGUUAUUGGUUGGAUCAGAUCAGAGAAGAUAUUUCAGUAAUGGCGAUUUGACUGUACUGUUGUGGUGGAAUGCAUGAGUGAGUUUUAUAGUACGCACUAGUAUAAGAGUAUCGUGAGAAAAAG